GUGCUUACUUUAGCAGCACAUAUAUUAAAAUUGGAAAAAUACAAAGAUUAACAUGGCCUCUGCACAAGGAUGUCAAGCAAAUUCAUGAAAUGUUCCAUAUUUUU